rnacentral:sRNA from 1 species
AUCUCGCGUUAAGGAUUCUAGUGGAAAUCCUUUUUUAUUUCAUAAAAAAGAUUGCAGCGGAAAGCCUGACUUUUU